rnacentral:rRNA from 1 species
UACAGGGGGUGCAAACGUUGCUCGGAAUCAUUGGGCGUAAAGCGCACGUAGGCGGUCUGUUAUGUCGGAGCGAGAACUCUGGCUCAACUGAGGAAGUGCAUCCGAAACUGGCAGGCUAGAGUACGAAAGAGGAUCGCGGAUUCCCGGUGUAGAGGUGAAAUUCGUAGAUAUCAGGAGGAACACCGGUGGCGAAGGCGGCCUGCUGGGCAGUUGCUGACACUGAGGCGCGACAGCGUGGGGAGCAAACAGG